CACUAUAAAUAGCACAAUAUUUUACGAGAGCAGAACACAUCCAUCAAAACAGAAUAAUAUACGUAGAUACGGCCUAAUAAGAUAACCUUUGCAAGGAAAAAUGAGGUGUGUUUGAGAAGUGCAACAGAUUGAAGGAGGAUACUUAGACAUGGGGGUAACAUUCUAUAUGGAUAGCUUCCAUAUCAUUGAGAAAGUUGGUUGUGAUUCAUGCACUAUCAAAUCGACUACAAAAUAUGAAAUCAACGACGAUGAACUUGCGAAGAAAGUUUCUCCUCUUAUCAGUGUAGAUUCCCUUGUUAAUAUGGCUAGAGGCAUCUCCAAAUAUGUUCUUAAGAAUCAGAGCCAUAAACAUCAGCCUAAGAAAGAAGUGCAUGAACAUGGGCAUCCCAGUGCCGAUGAGGGCAAACAUGUACAUCCAGGGUCAGAAUGAAGUUGUUCCUAUCAGGUGAUGUAAACCUGCAGCUUGGGGAUAUUAUGGCGCCAAUAUAAAUCUUUCAUUAUUGCAAGGCUAUUUGCAGUUGUAUUAUGUAUGAAGUAAAAAUAAAUAAUAAAAUGAACGAGUGAAAGUUUGAUUCUCAUUAAAA